rnacentral:rRNA from 1 species
UACAGAGGAUGCAAGCGUUAUCCGGAAUGAUUGGGCGUAAAGCGUCUGUAGGUGGCUUUUUAAGUCCGCCGUCAAAUCCCAGGGCUCAACUCUGGACAGGCGGUGGAAACUACCAAGCUUGAGUACGGUAGGGGCAGAGGGAAUUUCCGGUGGAGCGGUGAAAUGCGUAGAGAUCGGAAAGAACACCAACGGCGAAAGCACUUUACUGGGCUAUUACUGACACUGAGAGACGAAAGCUAGGGUAGCAAAUGGG